GAUGAACGCUGGCGGCGUGCCUAAUACAUGCAAGUCGAGCGAACAGACGAGGAGCUUGCUCCUCUGACGUUAGCGGCGGACGGGUGAGUAACACGUGGAUAACCUACCUAUAAGACUGGGAUAACUUCGGGAAACCGGAGCUAAUACCGGAUAAUAUAUUGAACCGCAUGGUUCAAUAGUGAAAGACGGUUUUGCUGUCACUUAUAGAUGGAUCCGCGCCGCAUUAGCUAGUUGGUAAGGUAACGGCUUACCAAGGCAACGAUGCGUAGCCGACCUGAGAGGGGGAUCCGGCACAACUGAACCUAGACCCCGUUCAGACCCCUAACGGAAGGAGGAGGAGGGAAUUUUUCCGAAUGGGCGGAAGCCCGAACGAGCCAAGGCGGGGGGGGGAAGAAGGGUCUUCGAUCCGAAAACUCUGUUAUUAGGGAAGAACAAAUGUGUAAGUAACUAUGCACGUCUUGACGGUACCUAAUCAGAAAGCCACGGCUAACUACGUG
rnacentral:rRNA from 1 species